GGCUGCUGCCCUCCUACCCACGGUCUAGCGACUGCCUUGUACUGGGCUUCCCUCCCCCUUGGUGUAAAUUUGUUCUAACAUGUGAGUGACUGCUAAGCUCAGCUUAUCCUAAACAUAUUUGCCUUUUUAUUUUUUAAGUGCUAGUUCAUCCAAGUGCAUGCUUAAUUGGGGAGAUACAGAGAAACAGCAAUCAAAUCAACGGGCACCUCCCAUAUGCCCAUUCCCGUGGGGCAGACUGCGGGUGCUGAGGGGGACCUGCUGACUCCCCUUCCAUCUACAGACCCUGUUGCAGCAGAGACGCUGUCCUGGCAUUCACGGCAGAGCUGCCAGGCCCCCGAAUGAGUGGGGACCCACGGAGCCAAGUGAAUUCUUCAGCCUGAAUUAUCAGGCUGGCUCAGCUGGAGUGGAGGGUGCGCAGGACAACGGCCGAGUCCUCUUCAGGCUGUGCUCGGGAGAUGACCAGUGAGGACGGACUGGGACAACUAGCAAAUGUCCAUCAGUGUAGACUGCAGAAACACACCUGCUUACAUCGCACAACGGAAUAUUAUACGGCAACAAAAAUGAGGAAACUGCAGCUAAACGCACCCAGCAGGGUGAACGCCACAAACAGGAUGCUGAAGAAAGGAGGCCAGACAUACAAGAGCAUGUAUUAGUAUCCUGCUGUGUUUGCAUAACUUUCUGAAACAGGCAAAACCAGUCUAUAGAGUGCGAAUUCAGGGCAGUGGUUACCCCGGGGAGGGGUGAUGACUAGGAGAGGCCCAGGGGACCUCUGGGACCAUGAGGCUGGUUCUGGGUUUAUUCUGGGUGCAUAGACCAUCGCUUUGUGUUCACACUGUGAAUAUUCACUCUUUCAAGUUUCUGCCCUGGCUGCAUGGGCCUCAGAACUGGAUAGACAACUAAACAUACAGUCAUACAACCCAAUUUCCCUCGUUGGAGGGGCUGAUGGCGACUCCCCUUGUCUUCCUGUCCCCGCUGAAAUGUCACCUUCUCACAGAAGCCAUCUCUGGAAACCCCUCGGUACUGCCACACCUUUGGUGACUCUCCACACAUCCCCAUCUGCUGCUUCUCCUGUGCGCCCUCAUCCCUGCGUGGUGGGCUGUCACUUGCUGAGGGUUGCACCUGCCCGGCCUCCCCGCCGGUGAGUGCCAGAGAGCAGGAGCUGGUCCGUCUGUCUCCCUGUUUCCAGAGCAGCGCUUGGCGCAGAGUCAGGGCUGAAGAGGUCUGUGUGCACUGGCUGUUGAAAGGACCAGUCAGACAUUUAUCGCCAGGACCGAGGAUCAAGAAUAACUGACGUUAAGCAGAGGCAUUCUGCUCACGAGCCAGAGGCAGCCAGACCAAGGCUUAAAUCAUGACACUGCAGGAGAGCACCUCAUAGCUGAUGGCAGGGAAGGGCGGUCAGAGCUGGGCAAAGCCUGGGGAACAAUG